rnacentral:rRNA from 1 species
UACGUAGGGGGCGAGCGUUGUCCGGAGUUACUGGGCGUAAAGGGCAUGCAGGCGGUCAGGCGCGUUUUUGUGUGACAGCGGAGGGCUUCACUCUCCGAGCAUGCGAAAGACGGUUUGACUUGAGGACUCGAGAGGGACACGGAAUUCCUGGUGUAGCGGUGAAAUGCGACAGAUAUCAGGAGGAACACCGGUGGCGAAGGCGGGUCUCUGGGCCGAUACUGACGCUGAGGAGCGAAAGCGUGGGGAGCGAACAGG